UACGAAGGGGGCUAGCGUUGCUCGGAAUCACUGGGCGUAAAGCGCACGUAGGCGAACUCUUAAGUCGGUGGUGAAAUCCUGGAGCUCAACUCCAGAACUGCCUUCGAUACUGAGAGUCUCGAGUCCGGGAGAGGUGAGUGGAACUGCGAGUGUAGAGGUGAAAUUCGUAGAUAUUCGCAAGAACACCAGUGGCGAAGGCGGCUCACUGGCCCGGUACUGACGCUGAGGUGCGAAAGCGUGGGGAGCAAACAGGAUUAGA
rnacentral:rRNA from 1 species